UGGCGCUGUGUGCUGGGAGGCAGAGUUGGGACGCAUCCUGAAGUUGGGACUGCUUCCAGAGGCACAGUUGGUAGCCAGACCCAGGCGGAGCUGAGCCACCACGUGGAGCUGAAACUGCUAGUGGGGCACGCGGAUUAGGGUGCAGCAUUAAAGUCAAACUGCGUGUGGACCUGGAGUGCAGCAUGAGAGCUAAGAUAUCGCACGAAGUUGGGGGGCGGCGUGAAAGCCUAAAGCAGCUUAAAGCAGUCCUGCACAUAUCUCUCAACACUGUUUGGGCUCGUUUAUUUUUUAUCUUGGCGAGGAAUGAGUUGGCGUGAGUCGGCGUGCAAGGAGACUUCAUCAAUGCCAGAUUCGUCACUGACUGACCUGCUCGGACUUUCUGCAGAAGAUUGACGGGGCUCAGGGCUCACAGCCCCCACUCUGGUAAACUUGUCGGAGACCCAAGUCUCACUGGAGGUCUCAGAGGUUGGAGAUCAGAAAUAUCCAGUCAAAACUCAAAAGCGAAAAGCCUGGAGAUCACUGCAAUGUCCUAUGUGAGACAGUACAAGGAAGCUCAAUAUUCUGCUCUGAAAGACUAAAGAGACUAUGCUGGUAGCCUGGAGACAGAUAUCCAAAAAUUAUGGCAAACAGUGGAGCAACUUCAAGGGAAGAGAGUGAAAAAUUCUUCUUCUAUUUUAUGAUUGCUUUGGUGAAUGUUUUGAAGACUGUGUUGAAGAAGAGCAUUAAUUGUAGACAUCCUUCUUUAUUUCUGAUUUUAGAGAAAAAGAUUUCAGCAUUUUUAAUUUAAUGUGAUAUUGUUAGUAGAUUUUCACAAGUGGCUGUUAUGUCUCAUUUAAGGAUGUCCUCCCAAAUCCUCAUGUGCUCAUAAGUGGGGUUUUUCAGAUGUGGUUGAAUCUAGGGUCUGUGGGUAUGGAUUAAGGAUGUGUGAAAAUUAAAUUAAUUCACUGUUUAGUUUGGCAUGGUUCUGAGUUUGGAUAAUGGGAAGGCCCUCCUAGGUGUGGGUGAUAACAACCCAUAGGCUUGUAGCCUGGAUGAGAUAAAAGAGAAAGAAAGGUUUGCCACUAAUCCUCAUUUCUGCGUGCCCUGCCAUGAACCAUCACUCCUCUGCCAUGCCCAUUUGCCAUGUUUCCCUGCACUGGAGCCAGCCAACUGUAGACUGAAGCCUCUACAAGUUGUGAGCUAUAGUAAAACUUUUAUUUUUUAACUAAUAGAUGUUAGAUAUUAUGUAUUAGUGAUGAGAAAGUAACUAAGAUAGUGGGUUUCAACGGAUUGAGAUAAGGUCCUUCAAUACAUAGUUGAGCUUGUUUUUUUUUUAAUAUCAUGAAUGGAUGCUGGAUUUUGUUAAUACGUUUUCUGUGCCCAUUAAGAGGGUCAUGCCAUUUUUCAUUGUUUCUGUUUAUGAUAUUGAUUACAUUUAUUGAUUUGCAUAUAUUGAAUCACUCUUGCAUCCAUGGGAUGCAGCUUAGAUGGCUUUGGUGUAUCAUCAUUUUUAUUCAUUGUUGCCUUUUGUUUUCCAGUAUCAUGUAGAUGAUAUUUUUCAUCUAUAUUCAUUAGAAAAGUUGACCCGUAAUUAUCGUUCUUGGUUAUACAUUUGCCUGGUAUUGCAAACAGAGGUAAUGCUAGCUUCCAAAAAGGAUUUUGCUAGUACUCCUACAAUUUGAUUUCAUUAAAGAGUUUUUGAGGAGCAGUGGUAUUAGGUCUUUGUAAUGGUUGACAUAUUGUGUCAAGAUGAGCAGUUUAGAAGUUUGACUGAGUGAUUCACCAGGGGGUCAGAGUUCUCACUUUUUUUAUUUUAAAGAGAUUCAGAUAAAACAGGACAUAACAAAGCAGAUCAAAACAGGGCAAUGUAAGCAACACAGUAUUUCACCAGAAGACAACCCGUAAUUAACAGUGACUACCAUAGUGACUCUUUCUUUGAAAUAGGUGAGCACAACUUCAUAUAUGAUAGUAUCAGACAUAACAAAAUAGUAUAAAACCAUUCAAGAGAAUGAAAGUAUUACAGGGCAUUCAGAACCAAGUAACAGAAAAUAAACAAUGGCUACUAUAUUAUCUCAUUUUCCAUAGAAAAAGUGUUUAUGCUAUCACACAUCAUACAAUCGAAUAAGAUACAACAUGAUAGAAGCAAAGGAAACAGAAGAGCAAAUCUUGGUAGGACUUCAGAGUUAGAUGAUAUUAAAUCAAUACUGGCUAUUAUGACUAGUUUUAUUCAAAAUAGCUGUUCAUACCAUCACAAGUAAUAAAAUCAAACAAAACAGGAUAAACCCAUUCCAAUUAAUGAAUGCAAUCAUUAUAAGGCUUCAAAGCAAUGAAAUGGGGAAUCAUUAUUACCAUAAACUCUUAUGUACUCUUACCAUUUCUUACACUAGGGAGACUAUACAGUAUUUAUACAUGUGAGUUUGAUUUAUUUUGCUAAUGAGUAUGGUCCCAAGUUGCACCCAUUUAUUUAUAAAUAUCUCAAUGUGAUCCUUCUUUAUAGCUGAGUAGUACCUCAAUGUAUAAAAAUACCAUAACUUUUUUAUCCAUUCCUCAGUUGAUGGACACUUAGAUUGUUUCCAAGAUCUGGCUAUUACAAAUUAUGCUGCUAUAAAUAUGCGCGCACAUACAUCACUGUGGUAUGAUGUUUUCAGUUCUUCUGGGAAUAUGCCUAGAAGCGGAAUAGCUGGGUCAAAUGGGACUUCCAAUCCCAGCUUUUUCAGGAAACUCCAGACUGACCUCCACAGUGGUUCCACCAGUCUACACUCCCACCAACAGUGCAGAAGAGUUCGUGCUUCCCCACAGCCCCUCCAGCAUUUGUUGUUGGUGGUUUUGUUGAUCCUGGCCAUUUUUUCUGGAGUGAGAUGGAAUCUCAGUGUGGUUUUAAUUGUCAUUUCUCUAAUGAGUAAUGAUGAUGAACAUUUUUUCAUGUAUUUAUUUGCCAUUUGUAUUUAAUCAUCUGAGAACUGUGUAUUCAUCUCAGAUGCUCAUUUUUGGAUUGGAUCCUUGAAUUUUGGGGGUCUGAUUUUUUUAAUUCUUUAUAUGUUUUAGAUAGAAGUCUUUUGUCUGAGGGACAGUUCACUAUGAUUGUUUCCCACUGUGUAGGUUAUCUUUUCACUAUGGUAGAGAUUUCUUUUGAUGUGCAGAAAGUUUUUAAUAGGACAUGAUCCCAGUUGUUGAUUCUGGGAAGUAUUUUCCAUGCGAUUUGAUUCCUGUUCAUGAAUUCUCCACCUACCCCUAUGGCUUCAUGUUUUUUUUACCCGACUUUUCUUCCAAUAAACUUAGUGUUUUUGUUUUAAGAUUUAGAUCUUUGAUGCAUUUAGAUUUUAAUUUGUUACAUGUUGACAGGCAUGGGUCUAGUCUUAGUUUCGGCGUAUGGAGAGCCAGUUUUUCCAACACCAUUUAUUAAAGAGAUUGACCUUCUUUCCAGUGAACAUGUUUGGCCCCUUUAUCAAAGGUAAGGUGGUUGAGUGUGUUGAUAGUUGUGGUUAUACUAUCUAUUCUAUUCCAUCUAUUCCAUUGAUCUUCAGCUCUGUUUUUAUUCCAGAAUCAUGUUGAUUUUACUACAGUUGCUUUGUAGUAUAACUUCAAGUCAGUGAUUGUGAUGCCUCCUGCCGUGGCUUUGCUGCUUAGAACUGCCUUUGCUAUUUUAGAUCUCUUCUGGUUCCAGAUGAAUUUUAGGAGUGAUUUGUCUAGAACUAUGAGGUAUGUUAAUGGCAUUUUUUAUUGGGAUUGCAUUGAAUCUGUACAACAGUUUAGGGAGAAUGGCCAUUUUCACAAUAUUUAUUCUUCCUACCCAUGAACAAGGGAUGUCUUUCCAUUUUCUGAGAUCCUCUUGAAUUUCUUUUUUCAGGGUAUAAUAAUUUUCCCUGUAUAGAUACUUUACUUCUUUCAUAAGGUUGAUUCCUAAGUAUUCCACUUUUUUGGAUGCUAGUGUGAAGGGUGAGGUUCUCUUAUUUCCCUCGCUAUGAUUUUCUUGUUAGUGUAGAAUAUUGAUUUUUGAGUAUUGAUUUUGUAUCAAGCUACAUUGUUCAAUUUAUUUAUUGUAUCUAGGAGUUUUUCAAUGAAGUUUUGGGGAUCUUCUAUGUAGAGUAUCACAUCAUCUCCAAAUAAUGAUAAUUUAACUUCCUCUUUUCAUACUUUUGCUCCUUUUAUUUCUCUCUCUUGUCUAAUUGCUCUGGCUAGUAUUUACAGUGCUACAUUGAAUAGGAGUGGUCAUCACGGACAUCGUUUUCUAGUGCCUGAUUUAAAAGUAAAGGCCUUCAGUUUUUGGCCAUUUAAUAUGAUGCUGGUUGUUGUAUUGUCAUAGAUGGCCUUUAUCAUAUUGAGGUAAAGAUCAUCUGUUUUAAAUUUCUGUAAGGUUCUUAUCAUGAAUGAGUGUUGAACCUUAUCCAGAGCUUUUUCUGCAUCUAUAGAAAUGAUCAAGUGAUUCUUACUUUUUGGCUCUAUUUAUAUGGUGGAUUACACUUGUUGAUUGAUAUAUGUUGAACUAUCCCUGCAUGCCUGGCACGAUUCCCACUUGGUCAACUUCUUGAUAAUUUGCUGCACCAUGUUUGCCAAUAUUUUAUUGAGGAUAUUUGCAUCUGUGCUCAUUAGGGAAAUUGGUCUGUAGUUUUGUUUUUCAGUUGGGUGUCUUUCAGGUUUUGGUACUAAAGUAAUAUUUGCUUCCAGGAAUGACUUAGGAAAAAUUACUUCCCUUUCAAUUUCAUUAAAGAGUUUGAGGAGUGUCAGCAUUAAGUUUUCUUUGUAUUUCUUGUAGAAAUCCUCAGUGAAUCCAUAUGGGCCUGGGCUCUUUUUUGUAGGUAAGGACUUAAUUAGAUUUUCAAUUUCAUUAGUAGACAUUGGCUUAUUCAACAGUUUUACAUCUUCUUGAUCCCACUUUGUUACUUCAUAUGUUUCUAGGAAUUUAUCCAUUUCGUCUGUGUUAUCAAACCCAUAAGAGUAGAGGUUUUUGAAAUAGGGGUUGAUGAUCUUCUAUAUUUCCACAGAGUGUUUAGUGAUUUCACCUUUUUCAAUUCUUAUUCCAUGAAGGUGAGCUUUUUCUUUCCUUGUUUUACUUAGAUUGGCUAGGGGCUUAUCAAUUUUAUUUAUUCUUUCAAAGAACCAACUCUUGGAUUCAUUCAUUCUUUGGAUUGUUUGCUUAGUCUCUAUUGCAGUAAUUUAUCCUCUGAUUUUUAUAAUUUUUCCCUUCUUUUAGCUUUGAGUUUGACUUGCUCUUCUUUUUCUAGAUGUUUGAGGUGUAGCAUCAGGUUAUUUGUAUUUGUUCUGUUUUCCUGAUGUGGGAACUCAGUGCAAUAAAUUUUCCUCUGAGGACCACUUUCAUUGCAUCCCACAGAUUGCUAAAUUGUAUUUGUAUUUUUGUUUGCUUGUAGGUAUUGUUUAAUUUCUUCUUUAAUUUCCCGUUACCCAUUGAUUGCUCAUGUGCGUUAUUCAAUUUCCACAUGUUUGUGUGGUUUUUUCAGUUUCUUUUAUCAUUAAUUUCUAAUUUCAUGGUGCUAUGAUCCAAUAACAUGCAUGGGAUUGUUUUAAAUCUUUUGCAUUUAUUUUAAUAUGUUCUGUGGGCUAGUAUGUAGUCUAUUUUGGAGAAUGUCCCAUGUACUGCCAAGAACAAUGUAUAUUCUAAUGUUGUUGGAUGGAACAUUCUGUAUACGUCUAUCAAGUCCAUUUGUUCACAGGUGUGAUUCAUUUCUGGCAUUUCCUUGCUGAUUUUCUGUCUGGUUGAUCAGUCCCUGGUGUCAAUGGUGUGUUAAGGUCUCUUGUUAUAAUUGUAUUAAUGCUAAUUUGAUUUUUCAUUUCUAUUAAUAACUUGUUUUGUAUAACUGGUUGCUCUGAAAUUUGGUGCAUAUAUAUUUAAGAUUGUUAUCUCUUCCUCUUGAAGUUUUCCCCUAACCUGUAUGUAGCAACCUUCUUUAUGUCUUUGAAUCACUCUUGGUUUGAAGUUCACAUUGUUUGCAAAUAGAAUAUUUACUCCUAGUUUCUUUGGGUUCCUGUUGCAUGAUGGAUUGUUUUCCAUCCUUUUACUUUCAGUCAAUGACUUUCCUUUUGGGUUAGAUGGGUUUCUUGUAGGUAGCAUAUGGUUGGAUGUUGUUUCUUGAUCCAUUCUUCCAGUCCGUUUCUUUUAAUUGUUAUAUUGAGGCCAUUUUUUAAUGGUCAUAACUGUUACACAUUGGUUUAUUGUUGACAUGUUAUCUUUCUGCUGUUCCAUCUUUAUCUUUCUUUUCUGUUUAAUUUUCUGCCUUGCAUAGUGUUUUUUUCCUAAGUGUAUCUAAACUGUCAGUAUUCUUUUCAGGUUUCACUAUUUCAGUAUUCUUUGCAGGGUUGACUUGGUCGUCAUGAAAUUUGUCAGCUGUUCUUUGUCACUGAAGUGUCUUAUUUCUCCAUCCAUUUUGAAGGACAGUUUUUCAUGGUACAUCAGUCUAGGUUGGCAAUCAUUUUCCUUUAGGAUAUGAAAUACCUCACUCCAUGCUCUUCUUGACUUCAGUGUUUGUGUUGAAAAGUCUGCUGUGAUUUUGAUAGGCUUUCCUUUAUAGGUGAUCUCUCUCUUCUCUCUAACAUCUUUUAAUAUUGUAUUUUUAUGUUGGAUUUCUGGGAUGGUGAUUAUUAUAAAUCUUGGUAUAGUUUUAUUUUGGUUAAGACUAUGUGGAGUUCUAUACGCUUCACUCAUCCUAAUGUCAGUUUCCAUUCUCACGUUUGGGAAAUUUUCGACUAUUAUUUCUGUAAAUAGUCUCUUGAUAUGAUUUGUUUUGUCCCCUUGUUUUUCAUUUAUCCCUAUCAAUCUUAUGUUGUUUUUCUUUGAAUCAUCUUGCAUCUGUUGAAUUGUUAUUUCCUGAUUCCUUGUUAUUUUUAGAGGAUCUUUAUUUCCUAUUCAGUAGCUGCAAUCUUGUCCUUGAGAUCUGAAAUUCUGUCUUCACUUUUGUUGAACCAGUUUUGACAACUUUCAAUGGAAUUUUUGAUUUCCUGUAUAUCUCUUUAAAUCUGCUUUAUGUAUUCUGUUUCUUUGUUGUAUUGUCAAUCCAGGGAUUCUAUCUUUUUGCUUUGUCCCUCUAUUUUUUUUUAACUGUGUUUUCUUUAGAUGCAUUCAGCUUCUCUUUCAUUACUUUUAUGAUUUCUUCUUUUACUUGGGAGAUCAUUUCUAGUUUGAAUUCCUUUAAAGCUUUCUGGAGUUGCUUCUUUAUUUCAGUUUCUAUCAUUUCAGGUAUUUCAAGUGUAUGGCAUAUAUUUUCUUCUAUGUACAAGGCUCUUAGUCUUGUGAUGGACUGGAUUGAGAUUGCAUUUUGGUCUUUCAUUUUAUCAUUUUCCUAUAUUUCUGUAUUUCAAGGCUUGUUCCAAAGCUUCCCCUGGGCCUGUUGGAAAUUGUCUCCUAUGUCUUGGUCUCCUGGGACUCCUCUGGCAGUGCUGCUCUUUUCUUGGCAGCAAAGCCCCUGGAUUACAAGAUAGUUCCUGGGCAAGGCCUAGACAGGCUCAAAGCUUCCUCCAGCAGCACAGCUCCCCCCUCUGGCAACGAAGCUCCCUGGACCAAAAGAAGUCCACCAGUCAUGGUCUAGCCAGGCCCGAAAACCACUGAGCACAGUCCAGAGUGGACUCAAUCCAGGCACGUCCCUGACCAUCCAAAGCAUGGUUCUCAAACUGUCCUGGUGCUUGGAUGGUACACAGAAACCCACCUCGUUGGGUAGGGAAGCUCCCAGAACUGAAAGAAGGCCACCGGCAUGGCCUAGGAAGGCCCCAAAUCUCUGUCACAGCAUAGCUUCUUCCUCUGGUGACAGUGGUGGUGGCAAAGUUCCUUGGACUGAGACUGAGACAAGGUCACUAGUGUGGCCUAGGCAGGCUCCAAACCUCCACCACAGUGCAGCUCCCUCCUCUGGCAGUGACAGCAGCAGCAAACUUCCCUGGACUCAGUUCUCACUUUAAAAAAAUUUUUUUUUUAUUUUAAAGAGGUUAAGACAAAAGAGGACAUAACAAAGCAGAUCAGAACAAUGCGGCAAUUUAAUAGCAUUUUACCACAAGACAACCCAUAAUUAACAGUAACUACCAUAAUGUCUCUUUCUUUGAAAUAGUUGAGCAUAGCUUCAUAUAUGAUAGUAUCAAACAUAACAAAACAGUAUAAAGCCAUUCAAGAGAAUGAAAGCAUUACAGGAUCAAUUCUCACUUUUUAAACAUCCUCAUUCUGCAUAAGAGGAGGGUAGGGAGAUGGUGUGAUUGUUACACACACCCUGCAUUGCAAGGUAGCCCGAUUUCAAUAUAAGAGAAAAAAUAUACUUGUGUCCUCUCCUUUUUGCUCUUGCUUUUGCUGUCUUCUGCCUCCAUGAGCUGUUUGAGAGUGAGUCCUUAGGUUAUGUAUUUUAAUUUAGAGGUUUUUAUUGCUGUAUCAAUUUAAUUGUUACUAGAUCAUUAAGGCUUUUGAAAUCUUCUUGGCUCAUUUUGGUAAUAUUUACAUAUCUAAUAUUAUAUCCAUUUAUUCUGUAUUUUCUAGUUUAUGGCAUACAGGUUGAUGAAAAUUCUUCUGGAUUCUGGAGGGUGUUCAUUGUGUUCUUAUCUUUUUUGUUUAUGUAUUAUGUUUUUUAUUUUCCUUUUUUGUAAGAUUAGCAAAGAAUUUGUGUAUUUUCUUACUCUUUUAAGAAACAAGGUCUUCAAUUAUUGGUUCUUUGAAACUUCUUUUUUUCACUUCAUUGAUUUCUGCUCUGAUCUUUAAAUUUUUCUUCCUUUAGUACCUCUGGAUUUGGAUUUUAUAAGGUUUUCUGGAACCUUGAGAUAUAUCAUUAGUUAUUUAUUUAGUCUUGCAGUUUUUCUGAUGUGAGCAUUUCCAGCUAUAAAUUUACCUCUUAGGACUGUUUUUAUUGUGUCACAUAAGGGAUAGUAUGUACUUGCAUUAUCAUUUUAUUCUAGAAGCUGCCUUAUUUCUUCCUUAAUUUCUUAUAUGGCUCAUUAAAUAUUCAACAUUGUGUUGUUUAAUUCUUUGCAUUCACAUAAAUUAUAUGGUUUCUUUUGCCAUUGAUUGAUAACUUAAAUGAAUAUGCUCUCAUAAUGUGUGUUAGAAGAUUUCAAUUCUUUUGCAUUCAUUUAAUUAUGCUUUAUUAGUUAGAAUCUGAGUUAUUUUAGAGAAAAUUAUGUAUGUUGCCUCAAAAGAAUGUAUGUUGUGUUGUUAGGUGGAACAUUUUGUAUAUACCUGUUAAAUCCAUUUAUUCAAGCAUUUGGUUUGAUACUUUUUAAAAUUAAUUGUGUUGGUAUAUUUUAGAUAUUCGUAAUGAUAACACUCUUCACAGGGAAUUUAUACCCUUAUGUGAUGAAUCUUGAGUCUUCUGUUUUCCCCAAUGACCCUCCUCUCCCUUUAACACAUUUCCCUUUCCUUAUUUAUGAAAGCUUUAUUCCCAUUUUUCCUUCUAUUCUCUUUAUUUUUGUUCUUUCCUUCUUUUUCCACUCCCUCUUUAUGGUUCCCAUUCAUUUGAAAAUUUUCUUCCUAUUCCCCAAUAUGUAUUAUGUAUAUUGGUCCUUAUUUACUCUUUUGGUUUUUUAUACCAGAGAGGAAAUGUGAUAUUCAGAAAUGUGUGUCCAAUUUAUUUCACCUAAGAGUAUAGUAUCAAUGUGCAUCCAUUUACCAACAAAUAUCUCAAGUCUAUUCUUCUUUGUGGCAGGGUACUACCUAUUUUAUUAAAAUAAAACCCACAUUUUCUUUAUCCAUUCUUCUGGGAAUUUGAGCUGUUUGCAAAAUUUAAAUACUACAAACUAUGCUGCUAUAAACAUGUAUGUCUAUAUAGCUCUAUGGUAUGAGGCUUUUAAUUCUUUCAAAGACGAUACCAAGAAGGUGAAUAGCUGGGUCAAAUGGAACCUCUGUUAACAUAACCAAGAACAAAAAACACAUGAUCAUCUGAAUAGGUGCAGGAAAAGAAUUUGAAAAAUAAAACAUCAUUCAUGAUUAAAAGAAACCCUACAGAAAAGUAGAAUAGAUGAUCUUAAUCUCAAUGUGAUAAAAGUUGUCUAUGAAAAACCAGUAGCCAACAUCAUACUAAAUGGUCUCAAAUUGAAAUCUUUCAAUGUAAAAUGAGGAAAAAGGCAAGUGCAUCUAAUAUCACCACUCAUACUCAAGAUAGUUCUGUAAACAAUAUUCAGAGCAAUUAGAUAAGAGAAAAAAAUAAAAGGAAAAGAAGAGAUAAGAAAGAAGUUAAAUCAUAAUUAUUUGCAGAUGACAUGAUAUUCUGCAUGCAAGACUCCAAAAGCUCUACCAAAAAUUUCUAGAUUUAAUACCCAAAUUCAGUCACAUUGCUAGAUAUAAAAUCAACAUUCAGAAAUCAGUGGCAUUCAUGUAUUAAAAAAACAAACUCACCAAUAAAGAAAUUAAGGAAACAAUGCCUUUCACCAUAGAAUAAGAAAUGAAACACAUGCAAGUCAAUCUAAUUUGGAAGUAAAAAUACUUUACAUUGAAAAAUAAAGUAUUCUGAAAAAGAAGGUGGAAGAGGAUACUAGAAGAUGGAAAUAUAUCUAUAUUUCUUAGUAGGAAGGACCAAUAUAGUUAAAAUGGCCAUAAUUAUAAAUUUUAUACAGUUUCAAUGCAAUUUUGAUUGAGAUACCAAUAACAUAACUUGUAGAAUAAGAGAAGGUAAUUCUAAAAUUCGUUUGGAACCAGAAGACACGUAGAGUAGUAAAAGCAAUUCUGGGCAACAAAGGCAAGGCAGAGAGGAACAUCACAAUCCUUGACUUGAUAUUAUACUACAAAGAUACUGUGAUAAUAACAGCAUGAUAUUGGCAAGAAAACAGCUUGGAGGAUCAAUGGAACAGAUUGGAAGAUGUAGAAACAAUUCUAAAAACACUCAGCUAUCUUAUCCUUGACAAACUGACCAAAUAUAGUCACUGGAAAAAAGCUAAUGUCUUCAUUAAAUGGUGCUGCUUGUACUGGCUUUCCAUAUGCUGAAGAUUAAAACUAGACAUACUCUCACCACACUCUAAAAUCAGAAUGGAUCAAUAAUGUAAAUUUUAAAACAGAAACACUAAAUCUGUUAUAAAUAGAAUAGAUAUAACUCUUGAGGACAUAGGUGUAGGAAAACACUUUAUGUAGAAAUCCCCGACCAUAUAGGAGAUAGCACAAAGGAUCAACAACUGGUAUCUCAUCUCAUCUUUUUCACAGCAAAAGAAAACACCAGAAGAGUGAAAAGUCACAUCACAGAGUGAGAAAUUUUUUUCCAGCUUUUCCUCAAAGUUCUAAUGUCUAGAAUAUAUAAAGAACUAAAAAAUUAAACUUCCAAUAUUUAAAGACCCAAUUCAAAAAUAUGCAUCCAAAAUUAAUAGACACUUCUCAGAAGGAGAAUUAGGAAUGGCAAAUAAAUAUGUGAAAAUAUGUUUAGUGAUCAUUCAAGAGAAUCAAAUUGAAACAACACUGAGAUUCCACCUCACUCCAGAAGGAAUGACUAUUAUUAAGAAAUCAAUCAAUAACGAAUGCUGGCAGGGUUGUGGGGAAAAAAAAAAAAAAACCUCUUCUCCAUUCUUGGAUGGAGGGUAAGGUUGAGCAAUCACUGGAAAUCAGUGUGGAUAUUCUUUAAAAAACUAGAAAUUUCAUUUGACCGAGCUAUUACUCUUCUUGGAUCAACUCUUAUGUUUUUUGUUGAUCUUUUGUUUAGUAGACUGAUCUAUUUGUGACAGUACUGUGUUAAGGCAUCACGGUAUAAUGGUGUUACUUUUUAUGAGGUAUUUUUGUGUCCAACAGUGUUUGUUUUUAUAAAGUUGGUGCACUGUAGUUUGGUGCCUGUAUGUUUAUAUUGUUAUUUCUUUCAGUUGAAUAGUUCCCUCAACCAAUGUUUAGUGGAUAUUUUUCCUCUUACCAGUUUUGUUUUAAACUCCACUAUUCAGAAUAUAGGAUAGCCACUCCUGUCUCUUUUUGGGUUCCAACAGCAAGGAACACUGUUUCCCAUUCUUUGAUUUUUUAUGAAUUUUUUUGAUUAUAUAUAUCACAGCCAUUUAUUUUGUUUCUACACCCAUUCUGCUAAUAUAUCUUUUGAUUUGUGAAUUGAUAUCACUAACAUUGACAAUUUUGGCCCUUUCAUAGAAUUGGCACCAUGCAUGGGUCUCUGAGGAGACAGCUAGACACCAGCCUUUUUCCAUGAGUCAGCAUCAUUUGUAGACUGUAAGGGAAGAGAACAAGAAGUCACCAAGAAGCAAGCCCUCCCUGUGAAUCAGCACCAGGGUUAGGCUGCUGGGUUGACAGCCAGAUGUCAGCCUUUUCCUGUGAGUCAGCACCACUUGAAGAUUGUGGGGGAAGAUGAUACCAAGAAUCAAGCCCUCCCUGCAAAUCAGUACCAUGUGUAGGCUGAUGGGUAGACAGCUAAGAUGCCAGCCUUUUUCUGUGGGUGACUGCAAUUCAUGGACUGCAGGGGAAGAGAACAAGAAGUCAACAAGAAGCAAGCCCUCCCUGUGGCCCAGCACCAUGCAUGGGCCACUGCAGUGAGAACCAAAUGCCAGCUCCUUCUGGUACAUAGACUGAGAAACAAUAAGAGCCAACCUUUCCCAACCCUGUCAUAAGCAACUGGAUGAUCUGUAGAAACAGAGGCUGCAAUGAUAGCUAUUGAAGGAAAAUAGAAUUUAGUGCUUAUAAUGUUUAGUCAUUUACUGACUUUGCAUGUCAAAACCAUCUAUUCAUCUGGUCAUCUAUUCAGAAGGAUAACAGUACACAAUGUAGCUUCCACAUUGUGCAGUAGGGGAUCUCCUUCUGAGAGUAGUAGCCACUGUUAAUGUCCUAUCAUUUUGUUUUGAAGUACUGUAUCAUUUUUAUUGUUUGGGGGGUUUUAUUCUGUAUCGCUUUGUUUGAUCUUAUUAUAUCUGAUAGCAUGGCUGGCAGUUUCAAAGAUAACAAGAUAUAUUAUGGUAGCCAUUUUGGAUUUACUCUUAUCUUGCUUUGAAGUCAUUUAUUGCAUUAAUUGUUUUGUUUUUAUUUGAUUUCUACUGUGUCUGAAAGUGUAUGCAGCUAUUUUCAAGACAGUAAGAAGUAUUAUGGCGAACAUUGUUGAUUUCCUAUUGUUUUAAAGUUCUGUGUCACUUACACUGACUUGUUUUGAUUGGCUAUAUUUUGUUUUAUUUUUCUUGGUUUUAUUCUCAUUAAAAUAAAAACAAAACAGAAUCAUCGAUAGUUCUAACUGAUGGAUAUUGACUUAUGCAUAUCAUUGUAUUUUCCCCCACUACUGAUUUUUUCACUUAUCCUUAAUUGCUCACCCUACAUGAUACAUUUAUUCUAUUAGACAACUUGGCAUUGUUAGCUGCUGUUUCUCUUUGUAGUGACAAAGGACUAUAAUUUUCAAAAUUCUUUGAAAACUUUGGGGGAUGAUGGUUUGUUCAUCAUGUGUUUUUAGGUGCUUUUUAUUGUGAAAAUGUCUUGUUUCUCCAUCAAUUUCUAAAGGUAAUUCUGCAGGAUAUAUCACUGUGCUUGGAAGUGGUUUUCUGUUAGGGUGAAACAACUCUAUGUUCUUCUUGCCUUUAAUGAUUUUGAUGAGUGGUCUGCUAUAAUUCUGGUGAGAUUUCCCUUAUGAGUGACUCAUUGCUUUUAUCUAACAACUUUUAAGAUUAUAUAUUGCAUUGGAAUUCUCAUAUUAUGAAUAAAAUGUAUCAUGGA